CUCGAGUUUUUCAGCAAGAUAGAGUUUGAUCCUGGCUCAGAUUGAACGCUAGCGGCAUGCUUUACACAUGCAAGUCGAACGGCAGCGCGGGGCAACCUGGCGGCGAGUGGCGAACGGGUGAGUAAUACAUCGGAACGUACCCUGUGAUGGGGGGAUAACCACGCGAAAGCGUGACUAAUACCGCAUACGACCCAAGGGUGAAAGUGGGGGAUCGCAAGACCUCACGUCAUAGGAGCGGCCGAUGGCGGAUUAGCUAGUUGGUGAGGUAAAGGCUCACCAAGGCGACGAUCCGUAGCUGGUCUGAGAGGACGACCAGCCACACUGGGACUGAGACACGGCCCAGACUCCUACGGGAGGCAGCAGUGGGGAAUCUUGGACAAUGGGGGCAACCCUGAUCCAGCAAUGCCGCGUGUGGGAUGAAGGCCUUCGGGUUGUAAACCACUUUUGGCGGGGGCGAAAUAUCGAGUGCUAAUACCAUUCGGUGAUGACGGUACCCGCAGAAUAAGCACCGGCUAACUACGUGCCAGCAGCCGCGGUAAUACGUAGGGUGCAAGCGUUAAUCGGAAUUACUGGGCGUAAAGCGUGCGCAGGCGGUUUGGUAAGACAGAUGUGAAAUUCCCGGGCUCAACCUGGGAACCGCAUUUGUGACUGCCUAACUAGAGUGCGGCAGAGGGGAGUGGAAUUCCGCGUGUAGCAGUGAAAUGCGUAGAUAUGCGGAGGAACACCGAUGGCGAAGGCAACUCCCUGGGCCUGCACUGACGCUCAUGCACGAAAGCGUGGGGAGCAAACAGGAUUAGAUACCCCUGGUAGUCCACGCCCUAAACGAUGUCGACUAGUUGUUGGACGGGAUACUGUUCAGUAACGUAGCUAACGCGUGAAGUCGACCGCCUGGGGAGUACGGCCGCAAGGUUAAAGCUCAAAGGAAUUGACGGAUCUUUCUAGA
rnacentral:rRNA from 1 species